rnacentral:rRNA from 1 species
UUGCUAACGCGUGAAGGCGAGCACUCUAGACGAACUGCCGUUGACAAAACGGAGGAAGGUGGGGAUGACGUCAAAUCAUCAUGCCCCUUAUGUUCUGGGCUACACACGUGCUACAAUGGCCGGUACAGACGGACGCAAAGCCGCGAGGUGGAGCAAAUCCUAAAAAAGCCGGUCUCAGCUCGGAUUGCAGGCUGCAAUUCGCCUGCAUGAAGUCGGAAUCGCUAGUAAUCGCAGGUCAGCAUACUGCGGUGAAUACGUUCCCGGGGCUU